AUAGAAGGCUAGUAGAAGUGGGCCCCUAUGGUGGGAACACCAUAGAGAAAAUUCGGCCAUAUCGGUGGACAACCCGCCCAUGGCGGGUCAAUACCGAGGAAAGAUCCCGAUAAAAUUUCGAUUUUAUCGUGGAAAUCCGUAGAGACUAAACGCCGAAGAUCCAGAACGGAUCAUGAUAUAGUCCAACCCCUAUCGUAAGAUGGGU
rnacentral:ncRNA from 1 species